rnacentral:tRNA from 1 species
GGGCCCGUAGCUCAGCGGUUAGAGCAGGCGACUCAUAAUCGCUUGGCCGGGGGUUCGAAUCCCUCCGGGCCCACCA